rnacentral:lncRNA from 1 species
CUAUUAUGCCUCAAGUUAAUUAUCUUGUGACGCAAUUUCAUAUUUUAUGGUCUGAUUGCUCUAGGUGGAACUGACCGCUCUACUGCAGUGUGAUUGCUCUAGAUGGAACUGACUGCUCUAUUGCGAGACAUUACUAGGUCGCCAGUCGGUUCUUGAUUUCGAUUACGGCCGUGAUAUUGUGAUAUUACCCAUGAACUGGAGAAUGGAGUGAAAACAAUUGGUCUACUGAUGGACUUGACAGUUCGUAUUUUUUAUGGCAAAUGCAUCGAAUUUCAGUGUUAGAGUCUGCCUUUUGGUAUGUCCUUGUGGUGCGUUGCCUCUCCAUUAAAUUCUCAUGUUCGCAGAUUCUGGAGUGUAGUUAUAUUAUGUCAUGUCUUUUUAGAUGAAAAUAGAAUGGAGUGGUACGUUCCAUCACUUGGGACCAUGUAAUUAUAUUAUUUGAUAUUUAGUAUAGAGUUCUGAACUAUCUUGGUUGGGCUUGGUUCAGGCAAAAAAAUACUUCUGUAAAGUUGUAGUCACAACUAUAAUUAUCCGAGGAAGUGUUCUAAAAGGAUAUGUCUAGCCCUACU